rnacentral:rRNA from 1 species
AUGCAAUCACCCGAUUGGCAGAAUCAUACAGAAGCAAUAGCGCGGCGCAAGCUAACACCAUAUACGUACAAACCAGAGGAGCGCAGCAGCGAUCCAAACUCCAGUGAGAUGGCCGCGGCAGCUCACCUCCGUUGUCACAUCGUCUUCAAUUCGGCGAGCAACACCCGGCGUCACACGCAGGCCUCCGCCCCGUCGCUCUCGCGCGGUCGCCUCCCAACUGCCCGAAAGCCUCCCGUGGCCGCCUGCCAGCGCCACGGCGUAGGGACCUUGGAACUAGACGGCGGAGCGACGAGGCGGCCGGCGCCGCGGUUCCUGUGCCUGCACGGGUUCCGCACCAGCGGGGAGAUCAUGCGGAGGCAGGUGGCGGACAGGUGGCCCGCCGACGUCACGUCCCGCCUGGACCUCGCCUUCGCCGACGCGCCCUUCCCCGCCGAGGGCGACUCCCCGGUGCGCGGCGUCUUCGACCCGCCCUACUACGAGUGGUGCCACUUCGUCGGCGAGGAUUUCCUCAAGUACAAGAACUUCGGCGAGUCCCUGGCCAGCAUCGAGGUGUGA